ACAAAGCUUUGGUCAGCCCGAGGCUAUAGUAGAAGACACUUGCCCAAGGUGCCAUGCAGUGGGACUGAACCUGAAACCAUGUGAUUGGUAAGCAAGCUACCUACCACACAUCCACUCCUGUGCCUUGGUUUAUUAGUGUCAAGAAGAACAUUCAGCUAUGAAUAAUAAUUUAGAUAAACUGAAGUUUCCAAUAUUUUUGUUAUCUUAUGCAAGAUUUUAGAACCAUUAGCUUCUGUAUAUUGUUGUUUACCUCUUUUUAGGAGUUUUUUAAAAAUUGUUUUAUUUUCUCUUUUGACAUCUUUCAUUUAAAAGACAUGGACCUCAUAAUUUUUCUCCUCCCCUUCCAACACCAUUUUUACUAUUUUUUUUUCUUCUUUUCUUCGGGUGAACCAACGAGAUAACUCCUUACACUACACCUGUAGUUCUGGUUACACAUACAUAGUUGGCCUGUUGUUAAUUCACAUUGGCAUUAAUGCCAAUAUUGGGGAGAAAUAUGGUGACACACCCUUACAUUUGGCUGUUUGAAACGUUCGGUUCAGUUGGAUAUUCAGAACAAAAAGAAAAUGUCACCAUUGCUUGAAGCCGUUUCCCUGGGUCACCUCGGAAUGACACACAAGCUAAUAGCCCUGGGUGCAAGCAUAAAUGCUGUUGAUGGUGAUGGUAACAGCUGUUUGCACCUUGCCGUGAAAACAGAAGUGUUUAAUUCCGAGGAUGCACCCAUGGAUUUACUAAACGAAUACUGCACCGCCCUCACCCUGAAAA